rnacentral:rRNA from 1 species
CAACGUGGGCAACCUGCCUCAUAGAGGGGAAUAGCCUUCCGAAAGGGAGAUUAAUACCGCAUAAGAUUGUAGUACCGCAUGGUACAGCAAUUAAAGGAGCAAUCCGCUAUGAGAUGGGCCCGCGGCGCAUUAGCUAGUUGGUGAGGUAACGGCUCACCAAGGCGACGAUGCGUAGCCGACCUGAGAGGGUGAUCGGCCACAUUGGGACUGAGACACGGCCCAGACUCCUACGGGAGGCAGCAUG